rnacentral:tRNA from 1 species
GGAGGGAUGACCGAGUGGUUGAAGGUGCACGAUUCGAAAUCGUGUGACCCUUAUGGGUCCGGGGGUUCGAAUCCCUCUCCCUCCG